AUACGUAGGGGGCGAGCGUUGUCCGGAAUGAUUGGGCGUAAAGGGCGCGUAGGCGGCGCGGUAAGUCUGGAGUGAAAGUCCUGCUUUCAAGGUGGGAAUUGCUUUGGAUACUGCCGCGCUUGAGUGCAGGAGAGGUUAUCGGAAUUCCCGGUGUAGCGGUGAAAUGCGUAGAGAUCGGGAGGAACACCAGUGGCGAAGGCGGGUAACUGGACUGCAACUGACGCUGAGGCGCGAAAGUGUGGAGAGCAAACAGGAUUAGAUACCCUGGUAGUCCACACUGUAAACGAUGAAUGCUAGGUGUAAGAGGUAUCGACCCCUUUUGUGCCGGAGUCAACACAAUAAGCAUUCCGCCUGGGGAGUACGGCCGCAAGGUUGAAACUCAAAGGAAUUGACGGGG
rnacentral:rRNA from 1 species